rnacentral:rRNA from 1 species
UACGUAGGGUGCGAGCGUUAAUCGGAAUUACUGGGCGUAAAGGGUGCGCAGGCGGCCCCGCAUGUCGAGUGUGAAAGCCCCGGGCUUAACCCGGGAAUUGCGCUCGAAACUAUGGGGCUGGAGUGUGGCAGAGGGAGGUGGAAUUCCACGUGUAGCGGUGAAAUGCGUAGAGAUGUGGAGGAACACCGAUGGUGAAGGCAGCCUCCUGGGCCAACACUGACGAUCAUGCACGAAAGAGUGGGGAGCAAACAGG